CAGCGGGCGUGCACGCUUCUUCGUUGAGAGUAUUGUCACGUGACAUCUGAGAUCCAACGGCUCACACUCGUCGUCUUCUUCUUCUUUCUUCUUUCACCCAAGUCCAAGUGUACUCUUACACACACCCUCUCUCACACACUCCACCCCUCCCUCUCUCUCACACACACGCACAAUAUAACCGUCUGCCUUACUUUUUUUCCCCCUCUUCGUAUACCUAUUGCUAGGGUUUCCUCGCGAUUAAGGAGAUUCGCGAUCGGGCCUCUGCCGCCUUCUUUUCCGUCUCAUCCAACAAAUUCAGGUCUGUUUUUGUUAUCCAAUCUCGCUCUUCAGCUUACGGAGCAUUUUUUUUAUCGUCUUCGAUUUGUGAUUUUGUUCAAUUCUGUUAAUGCUUUUUCUCAACUUCUUUUUCUCUCUCUUUUUUUUUUUUGGUUUAAUUCGGGCCGUGCUUCGUAAUAUGGGAAUUUGUGUUUCUCUAGGUGUUUGAUAGGGUCGGGAAGGAUCGAGUGUUAAGCUAGGCUCUUUGUCGUGUCUAAUUGUGCCGUAUUCAGUGUUUUAAGUUGGUGUGGUUAUUGUUUCCGCUGGCCUCCACACACACACACCACAGGUUGAGGGUUUUUCGUUUCUCGGAUUGAUUGGGUAUUAUUUUCUUAAUCUAGGGCUUUUGAAUUGAAGUCGAGCUGUAUCUGGAAUCUGGGGUUUUUUGUUCGAGGUAAUGUUACUGUUGAAUGGCGAUUGAAAAGAAUAGCUUUAAGGUAGCUCGUUUUGACCUGGAGUUUCAAUCCCCUCACAGU
rnacentral:lncRNA from 1 species